rnacentral:rRNA from 1 species
CAGCAGUGAGGAAUCUUCCACAAUGGGCGAAAGCCUGAUGGAGCAACGCCGCGUGCAGGAUGAAGGCCUUCGGGUUGUAAACUGCUUUUAUAAGUGAGGAAUAUGACGGUAGCUUAUGAAUAAGGAUCGGCUAACUACGUGCCAGCAGCCGCGGUCAUACGUAGGAUCCGAGCGUUAUCCGGAGUGACUGGGCGUAAAGAGUUGCGUAGGCGGUUUGUUAAGUGAAUAGUGAAAUCUGGUGGCUCAACCAUACAGGCUAUUAUUCAAACUGGCAAACUCGAGAGUGGUAGAGGUCACUGGAAUUUCUUGUGUAGGAGUGAAAUCCGUAGAUAUAAGAAGGAACACCGAUGGCGUAGGCAGGUGACUGGACCAUUUCUGACGCUAAGGCACGAAAGCGUGGGGAGCGAACCGGAUUAGAUACCCGGGUAGUCCACGCCGUAAACGAUGGAUACUAGCUGUUGGAGGUAUCGACCCCUUCAGUAGCGAAGCUAACGCGUUAAGUAUCCCGCCUGUGGAGUACGGUCGCAAGACUAAAACAUAAAGGAAUUGACGGGGACCCGCACAAGCGGUGGAUCGUGUUCUUUAAUUCGAUGCUAAACGAAGAACCUUACCAGGGCUUGACAUCCAGGGAAUUUUUGGGAAACCAAUUAGUGCCUUUUGGAACCCUGUGACAGGUGAUGCAUGGCCGUCGUCAGCUCGUGUCGUGAGAUGUUUGGUUAAGUCCAUCAACGAGCGCAACCCUUGCAACUAGUUGGAUUUUUCUAGUUGGACUGCUUCGGUAACGGAGAGGAAGGAGGGGAUGAUGUCAGGUCAGUAUUUCCCUUACGUCCUGGGCUAGAAACACGAUACAAUGGCUAGUACAAUGCGCAGCAAAGCCGCGAGGUGGAGCAAAUCGCAUCAAAGCUAGUCCCAGUUCGGAUUGGAGGCUGAAACUCGCCUCCAUGAAGUCGGAAUCGCUAGUAAUCGCAGAUCAGCAAGCUGCGGUGAAUACGUUCCCGGGUCUUGUACACACCGCCCGUCAAACCAUGAAAGUGACCAACACCCGAAGUCCGAUUCGUCGGCCUAAGGUGGGGGGCAUGAUUGGGGUUAAGUCGUAACAAGGUAUCCGUACCGGAAGGUGCGGAUG